UGCUCACUAAUGUGAGGCCAAAUACGGCAAGCUGAAACAUUGUGUGUGGUGGUGUUGCGUAAGCGUCCUUGUUCCGCACGGCAUUAUAGGAUGUUGUAGGGCGUCAGUCCAAGCUACACGGUGUCAAAUUAAUUUCAGCGUACUGCUUUCAGCAGCUGUGGAGAUGAGCCGCAAGAGAGAAAACUGCCGACACGCAAACUGGCAUCGUCCAAUGGUUCUGACCAUUAAAAGGAGCUCACUGAAUGCCAACAAUGCUCCUCUAUGCAAUCCCCGGAAUAAGUCCCGGACCUUUAGCCGGAGGUUUCCACCGGUAGCCAGAUCUGUUCAUUAAGGCAUCGCAGUUCCUGGCGCGGUGAGUCAGAAGAUCGAGCUUGGGCUCCAGGGUCCCUACGGAAGAAAUUUCCUGGAGGAUUGCUGCGAUCUUCGAAGUACGUGUCGUGAUCCUUUUGCGGACAGGUUCCCGAAGCCGUUUGAGACGAUGGCGUGAUCCAGUUGCCAAGUCCCUCCCUAAGUAUAUCUUUCCCGCAUUUCGACACCGAGAGAUGCAAAGAAUAUGACAACUGGCCUGAUGAGAUGUGCUCGGUUUAUAUGUAUUGGCAUCAUAAAUUGGAAGUCAAGUCACA